rnacentral:rRNA from 1 species
CCUACGGGAGACAGCAGUGAGGAAUAUUGGUCAAUGGACGAGAGUCUGAACCAGCCAAGUCGCGUGAAGGAUGAAGGCCCUGUGGGUUGUAAACUUCUUUUAUAUGGGAAUAAAAUGUUCCACGUGUGGCCUUUUGUAUGUACCUUAUGAAUAAGGAUCGGCUAACUCCGUGCCAGCAGCCGCGGUAAUACGGAGGAUCCGAGCGUUAUCCGGAUUUAUUGGGUUUAAAGGGAGCGUAGGUGGAUUGUUAAGUCAGUUGUGAAAGUUUGCGGCUCAACCGUAAAAUUGCAGUUGAAACUGGCAGGCUGGAGUACAGGAGAGGUGGGCGGAAUGCGCGGUGUAGCGGUGAAAUGCUUAGAUAUCACGAAGAACCCCGAUUGCGAAGGCAGCGCACUGGACUGAAACUGACACUGAGGCUCGAAAGCGUGGGUAUCAAACAGGAUUAGAUACCCGAGUAGUC